rnacentral:rRNA from 1 species
UGAUUUUGUAUAUAUGUCCAAACGGAAGAUAUAUAAAUUAAUUAAAAUAUGUAGUAGUACUAGAAACAAUGUUUGUUAGUAACUUAAUCCUCUCUUCUAGCGAUAAAAUGUGAAUAUAGAUAUAGGAUAAACAUUCUUAAAUGCUAUGGGAAGUGAUACAACGCGAAGAGGGAACGAAUGUUCUUUGUGGGUACGUUGAGUACACUCAAUCGAUUGAGGUACGUAUUUUUAAUCCGGUAUAUGUGUUUAAAAAAGAAAUACUAUUACUCGGUUUAGAUUUCGGAGUAUAACUUAUUUGUACAUCUUAAGUGUUUGUUGAGAGGAUAUAGUGGCUAUUAUCAGAGGUUUAUUACCACCCAGUAAUACCGAAUGGAUGAUACUAAAGAUGAAAGAGAUAUAAGGUCUAUAUUUCGAUUUGAAUAUCGGUUUAAUAGUAUGUGGUUUAUAAGAAUCUAUAGAGAGAUUCCUGCUGCUAGCAUUGCUACUAUAAAAGAGAGGAUGAAUUUUAUCGUAAACAUAGAAAUAUCAUCGAUGCUUAAAUAUCUUUAACUUUUUCAUAAGCUUAAGGCUAUAAAUCCAGUUCAAGCUAUUACAGGAAGAAUAAUGAAAAAAGAGAAAUCAGACGCAGUUUUAUAAUUUACUUUCAUUAAUAAGGACACAAGAACAGUAGAAUUAGCUCUAGAGGAGUCAGGAUAUAUUGCUAAGCAUUGAAAUAAUCCAAUUGUUAAUGCUAGACGAGGAUUGUUUCUAUCCUUUUUACUUCUGCAAAUAUUAUAAGAAUUGUUCCAGCUACAAGUUUAAUCAUGAUAGUAUAUGUCUGAAAUAAGUAUGUUUUAGUAACAUCAUGUAGUAGUAAAUCAGUGUUAAGAGCAGUGAACCUUCUAGGUGGUCUGAAUAAUAAUUACUUAUAAUAAAGCCAAUGCGUGAUACAGGCAUAUUUAGUAGAUGUAUUAGUGUGUUUGUAUAUAUUUAUGAGUAAACAGAUAAGUAAGGAUUACCUCAUAUAAGGGGAACUCUAUAACUAGAAUAGUAUACAAGUUUAUUAUGAGCUUCUGUAUCGUUGUUUAUUAUAAGAAUACGUAUAUCUUUAAUCCUUUCUAAUGGGGUGCGUGAUAAACAAGGAGGUAUUUGGGGAAUAACUUUUUAAUUACACAUUAGUCUUUAUUAAUAUUGUUUGUUUCACUAAGUGAAACCUUUCAUAUAAAUUAAGUCUAUAGGGCUAAGAUAACUUGUAUAUAUUUUGGAAGAGGGGAUUAAAGAGAGGUAGAAGUUGCUUUUCUAGUAAUAUGAUUUUAUAGAUUCUUCUCUAGGCUAGAGAGUGUCAAAAUAUUAACUUGAAUAUAUUUAUAAAAAUUUUUUGCAUAACUGCUAAUUAUGAAUCUCCACAUUAUAUCUUGUUCAGCGGCUACUGUUAUUGCAGCUUUCGCUGUUUGCUUUACUUUUUGAAUCAACUGUAACUUUCUACUUUUACAAUUGUAUUCCUUCAGCGUUUACUCGCUGAUUCAUCAAGAAACUUUUGACUUGCUUUGUUUGUUGCACUUUGCAGUUAAAAAUAAAAAUCUACGAUCUGUUUGAUUGAAAUAACCUCUCAAACUAGGACCGAGUCCUACUUGCGACCGCCGCACGGAUUAUGUACGUUCAGCUCGCUUACCUAAUUCUCGAACGAGAAUACUUCAAUCGCCGCCUGCCCACUCAUUGUGCUGCCCAUAAGACUGGGAUAACUCCGGGAAACCGGGGCUAAUACCGGAUAAUAUUUUGAACUGCAUGGUUCGAAAUUGAAAGGCGGCUUCGGCUGUCACUUAUGGAUGGACCCGCGUCGCAUUAGCUAGUUGGUGAGGUAACGGCUCACCAAGGCAACGAUGCGUAGCCGACCUGAGAGGGUGAUCGGCCACACUGGGACUGAGACACGGCCCAGACUCCUACGGGAGGCAGCAGUAGGGAAUCUUCCGCAAUGGACGAAAGUCUGACGGAGCAACGCCGCGUGAGUGAUGAAGGCUUUCGGGUCGUAAAACUCUGUUGUUAGGGAAGAACAAGUGCUAGUUGAAUAAGCUGGCACCUUGACGGUACCUAACCAGAAAGCCACGGCUAACUACGUGCCAGCAGCCGCGGUAAUACGUAGGUGGCAAGCGUUAUCCGGAAUUAUUGGGCGUAAAGCGCGCGCAGGUGGUUUCUUAAGUCUGAUGUGAAAGCCCACGGCUCAACCGUGGAGGGUCAUUGGAAACUGGGAGACUUGAGUGCAGAAGAGGAAAGUGGAAUUCCAUGUGUAGCGGUGAAAUGCGUAGAGAUAUGGAGGAACACCAGUGGCGAAGGCGACUUUCUGGUCUGUAACUGACACUGAGGCGCGAAAGCGUGGGGAGCAAACAGGAUUAGAUACCCUGGUAGUCCACGCCGUAAACGAUGAGUGCUAAGUGUUAGAGGGUUUCCGCCCUUUAGUGCUGAAGUUAACGCAUUAAGCACUCCGCCUGGGGAGUACGGCCGCAAGGCUGAAACUCAAAGGAAUUGACGGGGGCCCGCACAAGCGGUGGAGCAUGUGGUUUAAUUCGAAGCAACGCGAAGAACCUUACCAGGUCUUGACAUCCUCUGACAACCCUAGAGAUAGGGCUUCUCCUUCGGGAGCAGAGUGACAGGUGGUGCAUGGUUGUCGUCAGCUCGUGUCGUGAGAUGUUGGGUUAAGUCCCGCAACGAGCGCAACCCUUGAUCUUAGUUGCCAUCAUUAAGUUGGGCACUCUAAGGUGACUGCCGGUGACAAACCGGAGGAAGGUGGGGAUGACGUCAAAUCAUCAUGCCCCUUAUGACCUGGGCUACACACGUGCUACAAUGGACGGUACAAAGAGCUGCAAGACCGCGAGGUGGAGCUAAUCUCAUAAAACCGUUCUCAGUUCGGAUUGUAGGCUGCAACUCGCCUACAUGAAGCUGGAAUCGCUAGUAAUCGCGGAUCAGCAUGCCGCGGUGAAUACGUUCCCGGGCCUUGUACACACCGCCCGUCACACCACGAGAGUUUGUAACACCCGAAGUCGGUGGGGUAACCUUUUUGGAGCCAGCCGCCUAAGGUGGGACAGAUGAUUGGGGUGAAGUCGUAACAAGGUAGCCGUAUCGGAAGGUGCGGCUGGAUCACCU